rnacentral:rRNA from 1 species
UAGGGAAUAUUAGAAAUGGACGAAAGUCUGAUCUAGCAACACCGCGUGUGCGAAGAUGGCCUUCGGGUUGUAAAGCACUUUUUGGAAGGAUUAGGAAGGAAUGUACUUCCAGAAUAAGUCUCGGCUAACUACGUGCCAGCAGCCGCGGUAACACGUAGGAGGCAAACGUUAUCCGGAUUUACUGGGCGUAAAGCGCGUGUAGGUGGUUCUGUAAGUAGGGCGUGAAAGCACCUGGCUCAACUGGGAGAGGCCGUUUUAAACUGCAGAGAUAGAGGAUGGUAGAGGGAUGUGGGAUUCCGGGUGUAGCGGUGGAAUGCGCAGAUAUCCGGAGAAACACCAGUGGCGAAAGCGGCCUCCUGGACCAUUCCUGACACUCAGACGCGAAA